GCAACAUAAGAAAGCCGUUCGAUGAGUCCACUAUGGCUAAAGUGAAGUCCAUCCUAGAGUCACAGAUAGGAUUUGAAAAAAGUGGAGAUCUGAAUCUAAGGCAGCAGC